rnacentral:rRNA from 1 species
ACGUAGGGGGCAAGCGUUAUCCGGAAUUAUUGGGCGUAAAGAGUGCGUAGGUGGUUUUUUAAGCGUGAGGUGAAAGGCAAUAGCUUAACUAUUGUAAGCCUUGCGAACUGGGGGACUUGAGUGCAGGAGAGGAGAGUGGAAUUCCUAGUGUAGCGGUGAAAUGCGUAGAUAUAUGGAGGAACACCAGUGGCGAAGGCGACUCUCUGGUCUGUAACUGACGCUGAGGCUCGAAAGCGUGGGGAGCAAACAG